rfam:Clostridium sp. CAG:465 genomic scaffold, scf96
GGGGGCGUUCGGUUUCGACGAACAUGCAAGAAGUAUAAUAAGCGAGUAGUGGACUCCCGUUGGCCACUUUAAUCAUCGGGAAAUAAAUUUAAACGCUGAUAGAAAUGAAUUAGCAUUAGCUGCCUAAGUUGCGGCUAUGUCUUGUACAGCUUUGCUAGAGGGCAGUAUAAAGGCAUCAAACUAUCUAGCUUACAAAUCUAAUCUUUAGUCUAGGGUUAGAGGGUAUUUUAAGACUACACUGCUUAUCCUUUUUGUAAAUACUUGGGAUAGGUAGCAAGAAUUAAGUAUUUACUACACUCGUAGAAAGUUAUAUGAAAGGUGCUCGGACAUGGGUUCAAUUCCCAUCGCCUCCACCA